AUGCCAGGCACUGCAUGUGGCAGGUACAGAAUGGGUAAACGCAGACGAUUCUCCCUAUUCACCCGACCCAGAACUCCGACCACUUUCUGCUUUAACAAGUCAGGUCAUGCUGCUCUAGAUUUCAACCGUUCUCCCGCUGAUACUCCAGGAGCUGACACCUCCCGGCUUCAAGGCCCACACACCUCUCCCCUCUGCCCGCCAGCGCCGGGACAGCCGGCCCCGCCAUGCCAAGCCGUGCCGCUCUACAACCCCUCCGCGGCCACCUGCACCACAGCCCCGCUGCUCGGCCGCCGCCUCCUCUUGCUCGUCCGUGGGGCUUCAGCCGCAGCCGUCAGCCACGGCCCAGGGCAGCCACCUACACCCUCUGCUUUCUUCAUCCACCUCGCUGUGCAUCGUGACACUCCCCCGCUCUGGAGGAAUCUGUUGAUUUAGGACUGCUGCCCUCACUUCCUGCUGUAUACUCCCUGAAACCAGCUCAUCCCAUGGGCACUUCUUAUUCCAGUUUCCAAAGCCACACCUGCCUUUUUAUUUGUUUGCUGUAAUCUCCUUUGAAGGGCACAUUCUGCUUAUGUUAUGAACUCGCCUUUUCCCCUUUGUACACUUGCAGCACUACCUGAAAUUUGCCCUUCGCUUAUUGGUUGUAGUCACAGAUUAGAGUAAGCUAUCUUGAUAUAAAUGCAGUAUUGAUGUAAGCAUUUAGGACAUUAAACAACUUGGGCCAAGAACAGUAGGAUUAAAUCAUACUCUGCCAGAAAACUGGGAUGUGUAACGCUCACAGAAAUGCAUUAGCAUCCAAAACCUUCCUUGGAAGGUCAAGUACAUUAAACAAUGUGAAAAUAGUGGGCUGGGUUUUAUAUUAAGACCACAUGAAAACAAAAUCACAGAGCUCUUCAACACAAGUGUGGUUGCUGUUGACCACAGAGCUAUCACAGAGGUCUGUGCUGCUGAAGAGAGUGGUUUGGAGGGGAAUAGAAGCUGCUGUGCUCUGUUCAUAAUUAACACAGGGAAGACUGGUAGAGCUUUGAACUAGAUUAAAAGAGGGGGAAGGGACUAAGACUUACUGGGAUGAAACCAGGCUCAUCAGUGAUAAGCUGUAGGAUGGCACACCAAAACUUGAGGGUCUGUGAGCUAGUGAGAUUGUUCACUCUGCUCCACAAGAUGCCCGGUACACAGAAGCAUUGUGAAAUGUUUCUACACUAAAGCACACAGCAUGAGAAAAAAACAUGAGGAGCAAGAAGCCCUGGCUGGAUCCCAGUUACAAUGUCAUGGGCAUACGUGAAACAUGGUGGGAAGAAUCCCAUGACUAGUGUGCACAAUUCAGGGCUCUGGGCCUGGGACAGGCAGAGCAGGAGGGGCAAGGAGUGAUUGUGAGGGAGGACUGCACUGCACAGAGCUUGUCAUUGCCUAUGAUGUGGUUGAGAGCCUUUGGGUAAGGAUUAAGGAACAUGUAAAUAAAACUAGUGUCAUGGUGGGAGUCUAUUAUAGG
rnacentral:lncRNA from 1 species